rnacentral:rRNA from 1 species
UCGAGUGGCGGACGGGUGAGUAAUGCAUAGGAAAUUGCCUUGAAGUGGGGGAUAGCCCGGAGAAAUCCGGAUUAAUACCGCAUGUGCUNUACGGAGCAAAGCGGGCCUCUGAUUUAAGCUCGCGCUUUAAGAUAUGCCUAUGUCGGAUUAGCUAGUUGGUAGGGUAAAAGCCUACCAAGGCGACGAUCCGUAGCUGGUUUGAGAGGAUGAUCAGCCACACUGGGACUGAGACACGGCCCAGACUCCUACGGGAGGCAGCAGUGGGGAAUAUUGGACAAUGGGCGCAAGCCUGAUCCAGCAAUGCCGCGUGUGUGAAGAAGGCCUGCGGGUUGUAAAGCACUUUUAUCGGGAAAGAAAAUCACAGGGCUAAUAUUCCCUGUGCCUUGACGUACCCGAAGAAUAAGACCGCUAACU